CCUCGACCUGUCCUCCCUCAGCAGCCCCAUGACUGUGACAUCCAGACCAGUUCGUGGCCCUUAGGAGGGGAAACUGAGUCCCAGCCCCAGGGUCCUCUCUCGGCUUCACUAGGUGUCCCACAGAGAAGACAGCCAGAGUGUGUCACCUGACAGGCUCACCAGAACCAGCACAGCUGCUGAGUUUUGGCUCCCGGACCCUGGAGGCCCUGCCGCCGAGGCUGGGGAUGGCGGCUCCAGAGGUCAUUCCUCCCCCGGAAGGACACACGCUGGCCUUGGGCCAGGGGACCCUCAGCGACAGGGUCACCCCAACAUUCUGGAGGCUGUGGUUCUGCUUCCUCUUGGGCCUGAGCUGAGCAAGCUCUAGCUCUCGGGCUGAGCGCAAGGCAGGCAGGAGUGAUGUCUCCAACUGUGCUGAGGUCUGCCCUGGGUGCAAGGGCCCUGUGUUUUCAGCGCUGCCGUGUGGCCCGUGGAUGCCCCAGGCCCCUGGACAAUUGAAGCCUGGGGUCCACACUCCUGGACAGGGCUCUGGACAAUUGAAGCCUGGGGUCCACACUCCUGGACAGGGCUCUGGACAGUUGAUGCCUGGGGUCCACACUCCUGGACAGGGCUCUGGACAGUUGAUGCCUGGGGUCCACACUCCUGCACAGGGCUGAGGAGGUGGUGUCCCCAGACUUGCCUCGGCACAGCUGUGGGGGGCACCCCGGACACCCGCCCUGGCCUCAGUCUCCCAUCCCAGCUGGCCCUGACACGGGUGCAUGUGACGCCCUCUUGGCUCUGGCCUUUCAGACCCAGCUCAACCACGGCCGCCCAGACCCUUGGGCUCCGGUGUCUUCCCAAAGCUCUGAGAAGCACCCCCUUGGGGCAGCCAGGGCUCUGACCACCCUCCAAACCUCAGCUGGACUCCCUGUGGCCCAGUCCGGAAGGGUUCUCCUCAGAACAGAGGGCAGACGAGGCAAGAGUCGGUCUGAGUUCUGCCCUCUGGCACCGGCAGUGCUGUGAGGGCGCAUGGAGCGGCUCAGUGGUCUCCAGGGACCUCAGCCUUAGGGGAAGUGCAGCAGAGGCCUCAAGGCCCCCCGCGCUCAGCUAACGUUGCCCUCGCUCAUCCAGAGCACAGCCCAAGCUGCAGGAGGGCCAGAAGGGCAGAUGCUCCACAGCUCGGACAGCACCCAUAAGACUCGUGUGGAGAAAACAGCAAAGGCCGGUGUGGGACGGAGAGGACGUGAACGGCGAGUGCUCGGAGAACAAGCACGCCAGCAGCGAACCCAGGGGGGCCAGCCCAACAGCCAGUGCUCCGAGACACCGGCCAACGGCGAUGCCCCAUCCUCACCACAAACGCCACUAUGAUGUGCCGACAGUGGAUGCAAAUGCAUGACACAGACAGCGAGUGCCAGUGUGACUGUCAUGGCUGAUGCUGAGCACUGCACCAACACACCAGAGAAUCUGCGGGCCCAGGGCUCAGCUCCUGCUUGCGGGGCGCAGGCCGGGCCCCACCGUCCUACGUACACAGCAGCAUGGGCACCUUAGGCCUCUCCACCCUCCUCUGCCCAGAGCCUGCCACCAUCCGUGUUGUACAAGGGCCAGGUGCUGCACAAAGAGGUCACGUGCCUUGCCCCGGGCUGCCAGCUCCAGAGAAUGGUCCAGGGACGCCAUGGUCAUCCGGCCCCAGGGCUGCUCCUGACCCUCCUGGGAUGGAUCCUCCGGGCAGAGAGGGGAUGAAUCACAUUCUGGAUGGCGGCUUCAGGUCAGAAAGCUGCCAGGUCACCCAGGUGCCACGCGAGCUGCUCCCCGGAGACGGUUUUCGGCCUUGGGUUUAUCACAGCGGCUGUUUUCUGUCUGCCAAGCCAAGCCUGGCUUUCAUCUCCCCUCGCACAAUGCUCUGCUUCCUCAGCCUCUGGGCUUAUCGUGGUUUUCUUUUCUACUGUCUGGAAUUGAAUGUUUAGUUCAUCUAUUUUGUAUUCUCUUGUUUAUAAUAAAAACAUUUUAGAUGAGAA
rnacentral:lncRNA from 1 species